rnacentral:rRNA from 1 species
AUUGAACGCUGGCGGCAUGCCUAACACAUGCAAGUCGAACGAGUGGCGGACGGGUGAGUAAUGUCUGGGAAACUGCCCGAUGGAGGGGGAUAACUACUGGAAACGGUAGCUAAUACCGCAUACCAUCGGAUGUGCCCAUAUGGGAUUAGCUAGUAGGUGGGGUAACGGCUCACCUAGGCGACGAUCCCUAGCUGGUUUGAGAGGAUGACAAGCCACACUGGAACUGAGACACGGGCCAGACUCCUACGGGAGGCAGCAGUGGGGAAUAUUGGACAAUGGGGGAAAGCCUGAUGCAGCCAUGCCGCGUGUAUGAAGAAGGCCUUCGGGUUGUAAAGUACUUUCAGCGGGGAAGCGUUACUCGCAGAAGAAGCACCGGCUAACUCCGUGCCAGCAGCCGCGGUAAUAC